rnacentral:tRNA from 1 species
GGGCAGUGGCUUAGGGGUAGAGCUUCUGCUUUGUGUGCAGAAGGUCCCAGGUUCAAUCCUCAGAAUGUGGUACCU